ACUCAAAUGAAUUGACGGGGGCCCGCACAAGCGGAGGAACAUGUGGUUUAAUUCGAUGAUACGCGAGGAACCUUACCUGGGCUUAAAUGGGGAACGACAGCUGCCGAAAGGUGGCCUUCUUCGGACGUUCUUCAAGGUGCUGCAUGGUUGUCGUCAGCUCGUGCCGUGAGGUGUCGGGUUAAGUCCCAUAACGAGCGCAACCCUUAUCGUUAGUUGCCAGCGGGUCAUGCCGGGGACUCUAGCGAGACUGCCACCGUAAGGUGUGAGGAAGGUGGGGAUGACGUCAAAUCAGCACGGCCCUUAUGUCCAGGGCUACACACGUGUUACAAUGGCCAAUACAAAGGGCAGCUACCGGGUGACCGGAUGCUAAUCUCUAAAGUUGGUCUCAGUUCGGAUCGAAGUCUGCAACCCGACUUCGUGAAGCUGGAUUCGCUAGUAAUCGCAUAUCAGCCAUGAUGCGGUGAAUACGUUCCCGGGCCUUGUACACACCGCCCGU
rnacentral:rRNA from 1 species